CAGAAGCUACGCACGUUAAAUGGGCCGCACUAGAUGCCCGGAGGACCCCAGACACCGAGGGGAACACAGCAAGGUCCCCUCGACGGAUUCCUACAAUCGUAACCCGGUGCAAGCGGCGAGGCAGGAAACCCCAAGAUGGCACCGACCUCCACGGCGGGCUCGGAGAGCUCGGCCCUAGAGCGAAUUGGGGAAGAACUGAAGACCCUCACAGCAUCCAUGGUCUCUAAGGCAGACCUACAUACCCUCACCUCCACCAUACAGGAC